CUGAUUCAUCUUUUCCUUGUGUAGAAAUAGAAACCUGGUCAAGGUUAACGGGCUACACAGAGUACCCAAGGCAGCCAGCUCAGCUACAGACUUUGAUUCCAUCUCAAGGAAAUAACCACCAGGAGAAGCUAUUCACAGAUGACCCACAACUGCGCUGUGUGAACUCACCUCCAUUUACAGAAAUCAGCGCGCUGGUUGUUGAUCCUAGAAGCGAAAAGUGACCUUCAGUGUGCUUCAGCACUGGGGGCCUGAUCCAAAGUCUGCUGUAGAGAAAAGAGGUUUGAAUGCCCAUUCCCAACAGGGUUUUGAGGACCUCCAGAGGAAAACUGCUCACAACAAAUGCCUGUUAAUUAAAAACAAAAAGAUUAUCAGCCUAAAAACAAUAACGUUGGUUAGGAUGGAAUUCUUUGCCAUGUCAUUUGAGACAUGAAAUUGUUACUUGAAGCACUGAGUGACACUCUCAAUAAGGGCCAGCUGGUGGAAAUUACUAAACAUGUUGUAAAUAGAGUUCGGGGGAACUGAGGAUCAGGCCUGUGGUUAGAGGAAUCAAAACCCACCCGGGCUGGGGUAAUGACUAAAAGGUGGCCUUGCUGUGACACUCCUGUCCUUCCCUUCUCCCUCCUUGGCUCGUGUGCCUUAGACUACACAUUCCCGAAGGGCUGACACAGGAAAUGGUUGGAUCCGCUUGUGCUGUGGCUGCAGCAGACACUGUCAGCAAGGAAAGAGGGGAGGAGAAUGUCAGAUAAGAAGGGAAGAAAGAGGAAGGAGAAACAGAGUUGUAAAAGGAGUGAAGAAUAAAAAAGCCAAGGAAAAGUACGAGAAGGAAAGGCUGAAGGUACCAUCUGAAAACUGAGCUGAUUUCUCCAAGUGUCUCAGCUGUAGCUAUGAAAAUGAGUCCACCUGAAACACUGAGGAGUUGCUUCAAAUUGGUUGAUCAUCACCAGCUCUUAAAUUAACUUUACAGUUUUUACAUCAUUAUUCUUGGUCCCUGAGAAACAGCUUUGCAGAUAAAGCAACUGGACUGAAUUGUGCAGCUGUAAAAGAGAAAAGAUUUAAAUUAUAGCCUAAAUAUUCUCCCAGCACAGAAGAACACAUUCAGAGAGAUUUAGGGCUUAAUCUGACAAAGAAGUGGGUGGGUAGGAGGUGCUUGGUACUUCACAGCUUUAGCACCUCAGUUAUUAAAACUCACUGAGGAGAUAUACAUCUCUGCUACCUGAAGGCCUGUCAGAUGACAGGGUGUGAACACAUCAUGUGUACCUGCAUGUCUAGACUGUGACAGAGCUGGCACGCUCACACUGCUAUCACACCACCAUCGACACAAGUACAGGAAUUGUUAAUCACUGCUCACAGGAACCUUAAAAUCAAGGGGAUAAAAAAAAGGGGAUUUGAAGGAUGAACUUGGCUUUUGGCCAAACCAGCAAAGGAAAACGAGACAAUCUUGUUCUGGCAACCAUCUACUUUAAGUAAAUGCUGUCUGCCAUUACCAGUGGUCUCUUGAGGGAGCUCUGCUUGAGGCUGAACAAAUCCUUUUCUGGGAAGAAAUCAUCUGUAUCUCUCAUCACACGGGGCAUUGGCCAUCAGCUGACUGAACUGAACAUGUAAACAAAGCUGUGCUGGCAGUCAGGAGUCUUUCUUCUUAUACAGGGGAAAAAAAGCUCUACAAAAGCUCAUAAUCCAUUUAUGGCACCAUCCAGGUCAGUUUGUCACUGAAAAAUGAAUUAACCCUGGACAAUCAGGCUUCUAGUAACUCGAGCAUCUUCAUUUUUUUUGCUUUUGUGGUAGCUGAAGGCAGGCAUUUUACCAUUUUUUUAUGGGACAAUACUUCCUUGCAGUCACACUUCUCCAAAGUCCUGUGCUGGCGCUGAUGUUUUCCAAACUUAGUACUUGACCACAGCAUAGGAUCACAGCGUGACCACAGCAUGAGGAGCAGCUGAAGGAACUGCGGUUAUUGAGCCAGACUGAAAGGAGGCUGAGGGGAGACCUCACCUCUCUCUACAACUACAAGAAAGGAGGUUGUACUGAGGUGAAUGUUAGUCUGUUCUCACAAGCAGCAAGUACUAGGAUGAGAGGAAAUGUCCUCGAAUUGCACCAGUGGAUGUUUACAUUGGAUACUAGGAAAAAUUUCAUCACCAGAAAGGUUGUCAAGCACUGGAACAGGCUGCCCUGAGAAGGGGUUGAGUCACCAUCCCUGGAGGUAUCUAAGACGUGUAGCUGUGGCACUUAAGGACAUGCUUUAGUGGUGGACUUGGCGUUGCUAGGUUAACGGUUGGACUCAAAAGCCAUUUUUGGCCUGAAUUUCCUCUGUAGGGAAGGGUCAGAUGAGCACGCCAGCUCUCCACCUCUUCAGGAGUGCCUCUCUGUUGGUCUAUCCCUAUGAAUGCUAAACUCACAACACAGUCCCAGCCAUGUGUGUGACAGUGCCCCGAAACUCCUCAUGAAAGCAGCUUGUGGGGAAGGGAGGGGAACCCGAGAAAUCCUCUGCAGUGCUUUGACAUCAGCAAUCCUCACAAGAGCUCAGCCUUAAGAUACAGACCCACAGAGGACCCCAGUCCAAUCAUCCAACACAGGUGGAGUGGUCUUUUCUGCCCAUGGGAGUUCUUACUAAUCUGUGCAGAUGACCAGCAGCUGAAGACAAGACAUGAUGACAGAUACUGACCCUCUAGACUGCAUCACACAUCUGGUUUUAAAGGUGUGUGAACAAAGUGAGUUUAUUUGAUGUCUCCAGGCAG